rnacentral:rRNA from 1 species
AAAGGACCGAAAAAAUAGAGCCCAUUAUCAAACAAUGCUCUCACACAGUUGAAAACAAAUAAAACACGCACACACAAACACAUCCUAGAACAGGAUAAA